rnacentral:rRNA from 1 species
GAUGAACGCUGGCGGCGUGCCUAAUACAUGCAAGUCGAGCGAACAGACGAGGAGCUUGCUCCUCUGACGUUAGCGGCGGACGGGUGAGUAACACGUGGAUAACCUACCUAUAAUACUGGUAUAACUUCGGGAAACCGGAGCUAAUACCGGAUAAUAUAUUGAACCGCAUGGUUCAAUAGUGAAAGACGGUUGUGCGGUCACUUAUAGAUGGAUCCGCGCCGCAUUAGCUAGUUGGUAAGGUAACGGCUUACCAAGGCAACGAUGCGUAGCCGAGCUGAGAGGGUGAUCGGCCACACUGGAACUGAGACACGGUCCAGACUCCUACGGGAGGCAGCAGUAGGGAAUCUUCCGCAAUGGGCGAAAGCUUGACGGAGCGACGCCGCGUGAGUGAUGAAGGUCUUCGGAUCGUAAAACUCUGUUAUUAGGGAAGAACAAAUGUGUACGUAACUAUGCCCGUCUUGACGGUACCUAAUCAGAAAGCCACGGCUAACUACGUG